UUAAUGAGAGUUUGAUCCUGGCUCAGGACGAACGCUGGCGGCGUGCCUAAUACAUGCAAGUAGAACGCUGAAGAGAGGAGCUUGCUCUUCUUGGAUGAGUUGCGAACGGGUGAGUAACGCGUAGGUAACCUGCCUUGUAGCGGGGGAUAACUAUUGGAAACGAUAGCUAAUACCGCAUAACAAUGGAUGACACAUGUCAUUUAUUUGAAAGGGGCAAUUGCUCCACUACAAGAUGGACCUGCGUUGUAUUAGCUAGUAGGUGAGGUAACGGCUCACCUAGGCGACGAUACAUAGCCGACCUGAGAGGGUGAUCGGCCACACUGGGACUGAGACACGGCCCAGACUCCUACGGGAGGCAGCAGUAGGGAAUCUUCGGCAAUGGGGGCAACCCUGACCGAGCAACGCCGCGUGAGUGAAGAAGGUUUUCGGAUCGUAAAGCUCUGUUGUAAGUCAAGAACGAGUGUGAGAGUGGAAAGUUCACACUGUGACGGUAGCUUACCAGAAAGGGACGGCUAACUACGUGCCAGCAGCCGCGGUAAUACGUAGGUCCCGAGCGUUGUCCGGAUUUAUUGGGCGUAAAGCGAGCGCAGGCGGUUUGAUAAGUCUGAAGUUAAAGGCUGUGGCUCAACCAUAGUUCGCUUUGGAAACUGUCAAACUUGAGUGCAGAAGGGGAGAGUGGAAUUCCAUGUGUAGCGGUGAAAUGCGUAGAUAUAUGGAGGAACACCGGUGGCGAAAGCGGCUCUCUGGUCUGUAACUGACGCUGAGGCUCGAAAGCGUGGGGAGCGAACAGGAUUAGAUACCCUGGUAGUCCACGCCGUA
rnacentral:rRNA from 1 species